UACAGGAUCAAGUAUGCGGAAGUAUACACUGCGCUCUGGCGCCAUAUUGGAGCAAAAAACUUAGAAAGUCUGAUCUCAAAGCAUACAUGGCAUCUCCUAGAGGUGGGAUCCUAAGGUUGCAUGUAGACACAGAAACACAAUGUGUAUUGAUAGCUGGUGAAGCCGUUACCGUCAUGGAAGGCUCAUUCGUCGCUUAACUGCAGCUGCAACAAAAGUUCUCAUCGGUUUUGGUCUUCUAAUUAUAUGAAGUCUGGUGUUUUACCUUCAAGUCUUUAUUACUAAACUAAAAUAAGCUCAAUUUGUGUUCAAUAUAUCUUUAUUAUAUAAGUCAAGGGAGGAGCUAUGAUGUCGUUUAUAAACAGACUCAUUUAUCUUUAAUUUAAAAGAUAAAUUAUUUAAA